CACUAUGCUGGACAAAAGUUUGUCCCCCUCGCUAUUUGUCCAUGCACACGUCAGCUGCGACCUUAAUCCAAGUUUGCUAAUCCCAAACAGGGUUUUAAAAAUCUAAUCGUUCGAUUCAAUUCGGAAUCUAACUGUUAAACCCUGAGACCCAAACCCACAACUUGCCGUGAUAAGAGAGUGGGAGGAUGUUCUCUUCACCAGCAGCAGCAGCAGCUGCAGCACAGACAACCUCACCUUUCCGGAUGCCAUUGCAGCCGUUGGUGGGUAAGCCUUCGGUAAGAGGAAGACUACAUUUCUCACUAGGGCAUGAAGUUGGGUUACAGUUACCCACCAAGUUUAAUACUGCAAAGUUUCAUUCUCAGUCUCAGUCUCAGUCUCGGUUUCAGUUUCAGAGGAGCAAAAAUAAUGGCCUUUUCAUAUUCUGUUGCUCUAAUUCUGAUAAUUCUUCUGCUAAUGGUACUGCCCCGACUUCGACAGCAGUAGUUCCUUCACCACCUCCAGUGAUAAAGAAGAGGAAGAGAUACAGAAAGCUUUACCCAGGGGAGAACGAGGGCAUCGUCGAAGAGAUGAGGUUCGUCGCUAUGAGACUCCGCAACAAUAAAGGCAAGCCUAUUUCUACAGAAGAAGAAGAAGAAGAAGACUCCAACAAGGAAUCGGAGGAAACAGAAGAAGAUGAUGUGAAAGAUACCUGGCAGCCCAGCAUGGAAGGCUUCCUCAAGUACCUGGUCGACAGCAAGCUUGUGUUCGAUACACUCGACCACGUUGUCGAAGCAUCCGAUGAUGUCGCUUAUGCUUACUUUCGAAAAACUGGAUUAGAGAGAUCUGAAUGUCUUUUGAAAGAUCUGGAGUGGUUUGCUCAACAGAACAUUGUGAUUCCAGAACCCAGUCCUCCCGGAGUUUCUUAUGCCAAAUAUUUGAGGGAACUUGCAGAAAAGAGUGCCCCGCUGUUCCUCUGCCAUUUCUAUAACAUAUAUUUUGCCCACAUUGCCGGUGGUCAAGUGAUUGCAAAACAGGUUUCAGAGAAGCUCCUGGAAGGAAGGGAGCUGGAGUUCUUCAAAUGGGAUGGGGAUGUGCAGGAGAUGUUGAAAGAUGUAAGAGAGACUCUCAACAAGCUUGGGGAGCAUUGGAUACGAGAUGAGAAAAACAGAUGCUUGAGAGAAGCAAAGAAGUCGUUCCAGUUCUUAGGGCAUAUCAUCCGCUUGAUAAUUUUAUAAUCGGGCAUGCUUUCGCUCAGUGAAUCUGAAUGUUCUCCAGUUACAUGGCUCUACCUUGAAGAACUUUUAGCAGCUGAUAACUUAUUAAUCGAGAAAAAUAGAAUUGUUUGUUUUGACUCAGCCAAUGGUUCAUGUAUCAGACUUGCUGGACUUAUGUAACAGAAGUGAGCUGUCAAUGGAAAGAUUGGGUUCAAUGAAGGUGUGGAUGAUGAUCAUCAUCAAUUAUCAAAUAUCCCAGGAGAUACAAAAACCAAUAUUAUAAUUUUACUUUGUGACGUUAUUUUUUUACUAGAACCAGGUACUAAUCUAACAUACAACGCUUUGAUCCUUCUCCUGAACCUUGUAAAAUCUUUUGAAUAUAUCAGAAUUCAGAACCCACUGAUAGAUGGGUUCCAGCUCUGA